UGGAACUCCAAACCUAUUUUUGCUCCAUUUUGCCGAACCCACUUUCUCAAACCCUAUCACUUUCAAUUCUUUGCCAAACUCAAUAAUUCUUGGAGAAAUCAUUCACAUGUUAGGAGGAGAUUAAGGUGAAGGGUGAGCUUAAUUGAGCAAUAUUGAUGGGGAAUUGGAGGCUAGAACCAUUCAGCCAUGAGGUAGCAUUCAAGACCGGACGAGUGACUAUCGAUACGGCUCAAGGCGAACGGAUUGAGAUAUCGUCGCGCCUAUUUGAAGAAUUUGGAUAGCAAGUGGGAUAGCAUGAUAUGAUUUGGAAAGUCAAGCUUCCGAAGUUUAAAUUCUCGGAAGUCAUUUGCACAAGAAGUGAAAGAAGGUUUUCAUUCUAGCGGUCCACAGUAGUCUAGAUGUUUUUGUCUAUGUAUUUGUACAAUGCGUUUUAACUCUGAUGUUUUUGUAAAAGGGGGUUACAUAUAUUUUGAUAUAUAAAAUAUGAUUUGAUUUGCGAAAAAUUUACACAGGUUUUUAGGCUUGCUACGGGUUUCGGAGCUACCACUCCCAUUCCCUAGCGCCGGUCGCGACUCAUAAAUUUGGGUCG